UACGUAGGGUGCGAGCGUUAAUCGGAAUUACUGGGCGUAAAGCGUGCGCAGGCGGUUGUGCAAGACAGAUGUGAAAUCCCCGGGCUUAACCUGGGAACUGCAUUUGUGACUGCACGGCUAGAGAGUGUCAGAGGGGGGUAGAAUUCCACGUGUAGCAGUGAAAUGCGUAGAUAUGUGGAGGAAUACCGAUGGCGAAGGCAGCCCCCUGGGAUAACACUGACGCUCAUGCACGAAAGCGUGGGGAGCAAACAGG
rnacentral:rRNA from 1 species